UGAAGUCACAAAUACAUUACUUGUGAGAAGGAAGGCAAAGUGCCACCCAAACCAGUUUGGUGGAUGCUUAUGCUUGCUAUGGCAACAGUGUGAACAAAAUUUAGGAUGAGCUGCUCCUAGCCCUUCUCUGCUAAAAGGAGGAUCCAGACUUCCAACUCUGAAUUGCCAUCACAAAUGUACUUGGAAGAAUAAUGGAAGAUUGUCUUUCCGUGGCAAGGGGAAGAGUGCCUGUGCUUUAAGAAAUACAGUGUGUCUUCAUAAGAACAUGAUUACUGUCAUAUUGACCCAAGCAAAGGUGGCAGCCAGUCCAGUCUCCUCUCUCCAGCCCUCACCUAGGAUGGACACCUAAGGAACCAUUAAAAGAACAAGGGAGACACACAGGAAUAAUUUCCUGUGGAUAUGAUGUGCAGUACCAGUA